UGAGGAAUAUUGGUCAAUGGGCGUGAGCCUGAACCAGCCAUGCCGCGUGAAGGCAGCGGCCCUAUGGGUCUUAAACUUCUUUUGUGCGGGAGCAAUAAGCGCCACGUGUGGCGUGACGAGAGUACCGCACGAAUAAGCAUCGGCUAACUCCGUGCCAGCAGCCGCGGUAAUACGGGGGAUGCGAGCGUUAUCCGGAUUUAUUGGGUUUAAAGGGUGCGUAGGCUGUUCGGUAAGUCAGCGGUGAAAUUCCCCCGCUCAACGGGGGCCUUGCCAUUGAUACUGCCGUUCUGGAAUGCGGAUGCCGUGGGAGGAAUGUGUGGUGUAGCGGUGAAAUGCAUAGAUAUCACACAGAACACCGAUUGCGAAGGCAUCUCACGAAUCCGCGAUUGACGCUGAUGCACGAAAGCGUGGGUAUCAAACAGG
rnacentral:rRNA from 1 species